rnacentral:rRNA from 1 species
CAAAGCGAUCAUACCAACACUAAUGCACCGGAUCCCAUCAGAACUCCGCAGUUAAGCCAAAAGUAAUACUAUGCUUGAGUUUGUGUCACAAAAAAAGGGCAAACAUGAAAUUUGCAACGU